ACCAAUAGAAAUUAUGAAAAAUAUUUUCCAAUAUUAGAAACAGAUGAUAUGAAAACAUUUUUUUCUUAAUAGUCAAGUGAGCAUAUUUACUGGCCUAUGCAGAUAACUCAAAAUGCUCAAAUAGUAGCCUAUAAGACAAAUAUAAUUUUUUUUUUUUUUACAAAAUGUUUAUCAACAUACACCUAAAAUACUACACAAAACAGCAAAAAGUCAUAAAGAUAAUCUGGUGCUAUUCCUUUAGGUUAUUUACAAUGCAAAACGAUUUCUGAUAUGCAUCUGAUUGCAAUAUCAAACUAAUAAUUGAUCUGAUUAAUGUUUGUGCUUCACAUAAAACACUGAAACUAAAAAAAGCAUUCAUUUAAAUCAUAAAGCACGGAACAAAACAUGUUAGUUUCAGAGCAAACGUUCAGUGAUGAGAUUAACUCAUCUUGCGUUCAUCUGAAUGCAUUAAAUGUAAAUUAAACACACUUGAGUUUAUUAUCACGAUGCGUGAGUUUGUCUUUCAAGCUAAAAAGCCGAAGAGGCCCGAGUGACUCUUCGAUUGGGACAGUGUUUUUUUUUCUCUCUCUCUCUCGCGCCCUGUCUUUCCUCAUUUCUGUCGCUCUCCGGCCAUCUGCUGUGUAAGUGCAGCACUAUUGAUCAGAAUCAAUGCGCCUCGGACCCCAUGAUGCUGCUGAUGUGCCGUUAGUGGCCGUCCGUUCGCGCCCUGCGCCGCAUCUGUUCCGGGUGACCCGGCGCGUUCGGGGCGCGUACAGAGAUCCAGCAGCUCUCGGCGCCGUGACCUUUAACCCUCGGCACGUUCACCUCAUUGUGUCCAUGAAAGAGACGAGCAAACACACGUGGACGACGGCACUGGUUCCUUACACUGAAAUCCUGGAAUAUAAUAGAAAUCUGUGUGUUAAUGAACUAAUGCAUGUAAAAUUAUACAGUAAUCUAAAAUAUUUGAGGUAUUUCUGUAAAAAAUACUUCGUCUAGCUUCUGAGUUUGGACACUUUCUAUGAUUUUCAUAAUUACAAUUCACAAGAAAAAAAAAUUAAAAAAAUUAAAGACUCUUAUACAGGAUUAUAAAACAUGCUGUGACUAAUAUGUGACUCUGGACCACAAAACCAGUCUUAAGUAGUACGGGUAUAUUUGUAGCAAUAGUCAAAAAUACAUUGUAUGGGUCAAAAUGAUCGAUUUUCUUUCUAAAAAUCAUUAGGAUAUUAAGUAAAGAUCAUGUUCCAUGAAGAUAUUUGUAAAUUUCCUACUGUAAAUAUUUCAAAACUUAAUUUUUGAUUAAUAAUAUGCAUUGCAAAGAAUUAAUUUGGACAACUUUAAAGGUGAUUUUCUCAAUAUUUAGAUUUUUUUGCACCCUCAGAUUCCAGAUUUUCAAAUAUCCUAACAAACCAUACAUCAAUUUAAAGCUUAUUUAUUCAGAUGUCAGAUGUAUAAAUGUCAAUUUCAAAAAAUGUUUUGGUCCAGGGUCACAUAUAGGGGAUUUAGGGGAUUUAUAUACAAUUUUUUACAUAUAACCAAUAAUCCAAAAUGGACUAAAUGAAAUAAUGAAAAA